UUGUGUCCUUUGACAGCUUCCCUGGCACUGAGGUCAAACUUACAGGCCUAUAGUUUCCUGGGUCUACCCUCUGAGCCUUCUUGUAGAUGGGCAUCACGUUUGUUAGCCACCAGUUGACUGGGACCCCCCCUGAUAGCCAGGACUGCUGAUAAAUGAUGGAAAGCGGCUUGGCCAGCUCUUCUGCCAGUUCUCUCAGCACCCUUGGGUGGAUCCCAUCUGGCCCCAUCGACUUGCAUACAACUAAGUGCUGUAGCAUCAACCAUUUCCUCAUGGACUGUGAGGGCCGCAUUCUGCUCCCCAUACCCUUCCACCAGCUCAGGGUCCUGGGUAUCUCGAGAACAACUGGUCUUGCUGCUAAAGACUGAGGCAAAGAAGGCAUUAAGCACCUCAGACUUUUCCUCAUCUCUCGUCACUGAGUUU